GAUGAACGCUGGCGGCGUGCCUAAUACAUGCAAGUCGAGCGAACAGACGAGGAUCUUGCUCCUCUCUCGUUAGCGGCGGACGUGUGAGUAACACGUGUAUAACCUACCUAUCAGACUGGUAUAACUUCGGGAAACCGGCGCUAAUACCGUAUAAUAUAUUGAACCGCAUGGUUCAAUAGUGAAAUACGGUUUUUCUGUCACUUAUAGAUGGAUCCCCGCCGCAUUAGCUAGUUGGUAAGGUAACGGCUUACCAAGGCGACGAUGCGUUGCCGACCUGAGAGGGUGAUAGGCGGCACGGGAACUGGAACACGGUCAAGACGCCUACGAGAGGCAGCAGAAGGGAAUCUGCCGCAAUGGGCGAAAGCAUGACGGAGCAACGGGGAGUGAGAGAUGAAGGUCUUGGGAUCGGAAAACUCUGUUAUUAGGGAAGAACAAAUGUGUAAGGAAAUAUGGACGUAGUGACGGUACCUAAUCAGAAAGCCACGGCUAACUACGUG
rnacentral:rRNA from 1 species